rnacentral:rRNA from 1 species
AUGGAAAGAUGCACUCAUUUGGGACACCAUUGGCUGAUCCCAUUGUUGAUUCUUUCCUAUUUGGAGCUCCACCAGCAGUUCCCUCCACCAAUGAGGCAACCACUGCUAGGAUUGGAAGCCUACAAAACGAGGUGGCUCAGUUGGACAUGGAGAACAUGGCCGAGGAAGACCGAAACAAACUUUCCAUCCUUCUAUGAAAAGUAUCCAAGAAGAGAAUCCAAGUAUGGUGGCAAAUCUUAUCUUCACGAAGGAACAAGAUCUCGGUCUUGA